rnacentral:rRNA from 1 species
AUUGAACGCUGGCGGAAUGCUUUACACAUGCAAGUCGAACGGCAGCACGGGGGCAACCCUGGUGGCGCGUGGCGAACGGGUGAGUAAUACAUCGGAACGUGCCCAGUCGUGGGGGAUAACGUAGCGAAAGUUACGCUAAUACCGCAUACGAUCUACGGAUGAAAGCGGGGGACCGUAAGGCCUUGCGCGAUUGGAGCGGCCGAUGUCAGAUUAGGUAGUUGGGGAGGUAAAGGCUCACCAAGCCGAGGAUCUGUAGCUGGUCUGAGAGGACGACCAGCCACGCUGGGACUGAGACACGAGCCAGACUCCUACGGGAGGCAGCAGUGGGGAAUUUUGGACAAUGGGCGCAAGCCUGAUCCAGCCAUUCCGCGUGCAGGACGAAGGCCUUCGGGUUGUAAACUGCUUUUGUACGGAACGAAAAGGCUCUGGUUAAUACCUGGGGCUCAUGAUGGUACCGUAAGAAUAAGCACCGGCUAACUACGUGCCAGCCGCCGCGGUAA